ACUUUUAAAGGAAAAUAGUCAUCCAAUGGUUUUAGGAACCAAAGCUCUUGGUGCAAUUCCAAGUGAAAGUA
rnacentral:tRNA from 1 species